CUACCUAUAAGACUGGGAUAACUUCGGGAAACCGUAGCUAAUACCGGAUAAUAUUUUGAACCGCAUGGUUCAAAAGUGAAAGACGGUCUUGCUGUCACUUAUAGAUGGAUCCGCGCUGCAUUAGCUAGUUGGUAAGGUAACGGCUUACCAAGGCAACGAUGCAUAGCCGACCUGAGAGGGUGAUCGGCCACACUGGAACUGAGACACGGUCCAG
rnacentral:rRNA from 1 species